CCUACGGGUGGCAGCAGUGGGGAAUAUUGCACAAUGGGGGAAACCCUGAUGCAGCGACGCCGCGUGAGUGAAGAAGUAUUUCGGUAUGUAAAGCUCUAUCAGCAGGGAAGAGAAUGACGGUACCUGAGUAAGAAGCCGCGGCUAACUACGUGCCAGCAGUCGCGGUAAUACGUAGGGGGCAAGCGUUAUCCGGAGUUACUGGGUGUAAAGGGAGCGUAGACGGCGCAGAAAGUCUGCAGGGAAAGCCCGCGGCUCACCCGCGGAACGGCUGUGGAAACUUUUUUGCUGGAGUACCGGAGAGGUAAGCGGACUUCCUAGUGUAGCGGUGACAUGCUUAGAUAUUAGGCGGACCCCCAGUGGCGAAGGCGGCUUACUGGACGGUAACUGCCGUUGCGGCUCGAACGCGUGGGGAGCAAACCGGAUUAGCUACCCCAGUAGUC
rnacentral:rRNA from 1 species